rnacentral:rRNA from 1 species
GGGUAGCUAUGUGUGGACGGGAUAAACGCUGAAAGCAUCUAAGCGUGAAGCCCCCCUCGAGAUGAGAUUUCCCAUCACAUUAAGUGAGUAAGACCCCUGAGAGACGAUCAGGUAGAUAGGCUAGAAGUGGAAGUGCCGUGAGGCAUGGAGCGGACUAGUACUAAUCGGUCGAGGACUUAACCAAG